rnacentral:lncRNA from 1 species
GUAAUUAUGAUGUAGUAGCUAAUGUUACUAGCUCUAGAUGUACUAAUCUGAUGCAUUACAUACAUCCAUCAAACUCUUUUGUACUUGUUUAACUAUCUAUAAUAUGGUUAUCUUUUCGACCAAAAAAAGUUUUUGAAUUUGCCUCAUGAAUAAUAAUAGACAUACAAUCUGUACAUAAACACUCAUAAAAACAAAAAUGCCGAAGAGGCAAAGGGUGUGUGUGAGAGAGGAGAGAUAAGAGAAACAGGAGAGAGUUAGGUUUAAAAAUUGGGAUGGGUCAAUAUUCGGGCGAGUUAUAGGUGAAUUUAAUCAUAAUUUGGCAUAGGGUUUACUUUAGACCAAUGAGAUGGUGAUAUAUGUAUAUUAAAUAAAAACAAUUUUUACUGAAUUUUCUGUUAGUAAUAAGGAUAAUAUUGAACCCAACAGAUAGGUAGGGCAUUUUUAUUGACAUAGGUGGGAGGA